UACGUAGGUGGCAAGCGUUGUCCGGAUUUAUUGGGUUUAAAGGGUGCGUAGGCGGUCUUAUAAGUCAGUGCUGAAAUAUCCCGGCUUAACCGGGAGGGUGGCAUUGAUACUGUAGGACUUGAGUAAAGUUGAGGUUGGCGGAAUUGACGGUGUAGCGGUGAAAUGCUUAGAUAUCGUCAAGAACACCGAUAGUGUAGACAGCUAACUAAGCUCAAACUGACACUGAUGCACGAAAGUGUGGGGAUCAAACAGG
rnacentral:rRNA from 1 species